rnacentral:lncRNA from 10 species
CAGCACUUUGGGAGGCUGAGGCAGGUGGAUCACGAGGUCAGGAGCUCAAGACCAACUUGGCCAAGACAGUGAAACCCCGUUUCUACUAAAAAUACAAAAAUUAGUCAGACGUGGUGGUGGGCGCAUGUAUUCCCAGCUACUUGGGAGGCUGAGGCAGAGAAUUGCUUGAACCUGGGAGGUGGAGGUUGCAGUGAGCUGAGAUCGCGCCACUGCACUCCAGCCUGGGCAACAAUAGCGAGCCUGUUCUCAAAAAAAAAAAAAGGAAAAAAGAAAAUAAUCGCACCACUGCACUUCAGCCUGGGUGACAAAGUGAGACCCUGUCUCAAAAAAAUAAAUAAAUAAAACAACCUAAAUAAAGUCCAACUACCUCUUUACCCUAGAAGAGUUUUCCUAAGAUACAGCUCAUAGACUUUUCUCCCCCGACAUAUCCUUGGAACCAUGGCCAAGGUGACCCCGAAUCACCAGCCCAGCUUCCGUAUGUCUAGCCACCCUGAAGCCUGUGGUGCCCUUCUGGAGGACCCUCUUUAAAUGUGUUAAUACACAGUACUGCUAAAAAGGAAG